GUGCUUGCUUCAGCAGCACAUAUACUACAAUUGGAACCAUAGAGAAGAUUAGCGUGGGCCCUGCACAAGGAUGGCAGGCAAAUUCGUGAUGCACUCGUUGUUCUA